ACGUAGGGGGCGAGCGUUGUCCGGAUUUACUGGGCGUAAAGCGCGCGUAGGCGGGCCUUUAAGUCGGGGGUGAAAUGCCGAGGCUUAACCUCGGAACUGCCUUCGAAACUGGAGGUCUUGAGGUGCGGAGAGGGAAGUGGAAUUCCUGGUGUAGCGGUGAAAUGCGUAGAUAUCAGGAGGAACACCCGUGGCGAAGGCGGCUUCCUGGCCGUGUCCUGACGCUGAGGUGCGAAAGCUAGGGUAGCGAACGG
rnacentral:rRNA from 1 species